rnacentral:rRNA from 1 species
ACGCUGGCGGCGUGCCUAAUACAUGCAAGUAGAACGCUGAAGGAGGAGCUUGCUUCUCCGGAUGAGUUGCGAACGGGCGAGUAACGCGUAGGUAACCUGCCUGGUAGCGGGGGAUAACUAUUGGAAACGAUAGCUAAUACCGCAUAAGAGUAGAUGUUGCAUGACAUUUGCUUAAAAGGUGCAAUUGCAUCACUACCAGAUGGACCUGCGUUGUAUUAGCUAGUUGGUGGGGUAACGGCUCACCAAGGCGACGAUACAUAGCCGACCUGAGAGGGUGAUCGGCCACACUGGGACUGAGACACGGCCCAGACCCCUACGGGAGGCAGCAGUAGGGAAUCUUCGGCAAUGGACGGAAGUCUGACCGAGCAACGCCGCGUGAGUGAAGAAGGUUUUCGGAUCGUAAAGCUCUGUUGUAAGAGAAGAACGAGUGUGAGAGUGGAAAGUUCACACUGUGACGGUAUCUUACCAGAAAGGGACGGCUAACUACGUGCCAGCAGCCGCGGUAAUACGUAGGUCCCGAGCGUUGUCCGGAUUUAUUGGGCGUAAAGCGAGCGCAGGCGGUUAGGUAAGUCUGAAGUUAAAGGCUAUGGCUUAACCAUAGUACGCUUUGGAAACUGUUUAACUUGAGUGCAAGAGGGGAGAGUGGAAUUCCAUGUGUAGCGGUGAAAUGCGUAGAUAUAUGGAGGAACACCGGUGGCGAAAGCGGCUCUCUGGCUUGUAACUGACGCUGAGGCUCGAAAGCGUGGGGAGCAAACAGGAUUAGAUACCCUGGUAGUCCACGCCGUAAACGAUGAGUGCUAGGUGUUAGACCCUUUCCGGGGUUUAGUGCCGCAGCUAACGCAUUAAGCACUCCGCCUGGGGAGUACGACCGCAAGGUUGAAACUCAAAGGAAUUGACGGGGGCCCGCACAAGCGGUGGAGCAUG